UGGGGAAUAUUGCACAAUGGGCGCAAGCCUGAUGCAGCAACGCCGCGUGAGGGACGACGGCCUUCGGGUUGUAAACCUCUUUUAGCAGGGAAGAAGCGAAAGUGACGGUACCUGCAGAAAAAGCGCCGGCUAACUACGUGCCAGCAGCCGCGGUAAUACGUAGGGCGCAAGCGUUAUCCGGAAUUAUUGGGCGUAAAGAGCUCGUAGGCGGUUUGUCGCGUCUGCUGUGAAAUCCGGAGGCUCAACCUCCGGCCUGCAGUGGGUACGGGCAGACUAGAGUGCGGUAGGGGAGAUUGGAAUUCCUGGUGUAGCGGUGGAAUGCGCAGAUAUCAGGAGGAACACCGAUGGCGAAGGCAGAUCUCUGGGCCGUAACUGACGCUGAGGAGCGAAAGGGUGGGGAGCAAACAGGCUUAGAUACCCUGGUAGUCCACCCCGUAAACGUUGGGAACUAGUUGUGGGGUCCAUUCCACGGAUUCCGUGACGCAGCUAACGCAUUAAGUUUCCCCGCCUGGGAG
rnacentral:rRNA from 1 species